rnacentral:rRNA from 1 species
UACGUAGGGCGCAAGCGUUAUCCGGAAUUAUUGGGCGUAAAGCGCGCGCAGGCGGUCCUUUAAGUCUGAUGUGAAAGCCCACGGCUCAACCGUGGAGGGUCAUUGGAAACUGGGGGGACUUGAGUACAGAAGAGAAGAGUGGAAUUCCACGUGUAGCGGUGAAAUGCGUAGAGAUGUGGAGGAACACCAGUGGCGAAGGCGACUCUUUGGUCUGUAACUGACGCUGAGGCGCGAAAGCGUGGGGAGCAAACAGG